rnacentral:rRNA from 1 species
AGCUCCAAUAGCGUAUAUUAAAGUUGUUGUGGUUAAAAAGCUCGUAGUUGGAUCUCAGGUCCCGGCUCGCGGUUCACCUCGCGGUGCUUACUGCCCGUCCGGACCUACCCGCCGGUUCUGUCUUGGUGCUCUUCACUGAGUGUCUCAAUUGGCCGGAACGUUUACUUUGAAAAAAUUAGAGUGUUCAAAGCAGGCGCUUCGCCUGGAUAAUGGUGCAUGGAAUAAUGGAAUAGGACCUCGGUUCUAUUGUGUUGGUUUUCGGAGCUCGAGGUAAUGAUUAAGAGGGACAGACGGGGGCAUUCGUAUUACGGUGUUAGAGGUGAAAUUCUUGGACCGUUUGAAGACAAACUACUGCGAAAGCAUUUGCCAAGAAUGUUUUCA